rnacentral:rRNA from 1 species
GACGAACGCUGGCGGCGUGCUUAACACAUGCAAGUCGAACGGUGAAGCGCCUUCCUUUUUGGUGGGUGGGGUGGAGUGGCGGACGGGUGAGUAACACGAGCGUAACCUGCCCCUUUGUUCUGGAUAACGGCAUGAAAGUGUGGCUAAUACGGGAUCUUCUGGGGCUUUCGGAUGGUGGGUCUGGGUAAGCUGUUGGUGCGGUGGGGGCGGGUCUCGCGGCCUUUCAGCUUGUUGGGGGUAUGAUGGCCUUCCAAGGCGGUGAGGUGUAGACGGCCUUAGAGGGUAGACGGUCACAGUGGGACUGAGACACGGCCGAGACUGCGACGCGAGGCAGCCGUGGGGAGUAGUGCACAAUGGGCGCAAGUCUGAUGCAGCGACGACGCGGGAGCGAUGGAGGCCCGCGGGUGAUGAACCCCUUUCGGCAGUGAAGCAGUCCUGCCUCGUUUGUAGGGGGGUUGACGGUAGCUGGAUAAGAAGCACCGGCUAACUACGUG